CACUCCUACGGGAGGCAGCAGUGGGGAAUUUUGGACAAUGGGCGAAAGCCUUAUCCAGCAAUGCCGCGUGUGUGAAGAAGGCCUUCGGGUUGUAAAGCACUUUUGUCCGGAAAGAAAUCCUUGGCUCUAAUACAGUCGGGGGAUGACGGUACCGGAAGAAUAAGCACCGGCUAACUACGUGCCAGCAGCCGCGGUAAUACGUAGGGUGCGAGCGUUAAUCGGAAUUACUGGGCGUAAAGCGUGCGCAGGCGGUUUGCUAAGACCGAUGUGAAAUCCCCGGGCUCAACCUGGGAACUGCAUUGGUGACUGGCAGGCUAGAGUAUGGCAGAGGGGGGUAGAAUUCCACGUGUAGCAGUGAAAUGCGUAGAGAUGUGGAGGAAUACCGAUGGCGAAGGCAGCCCCCUGGGCCAAUACUGACGCUCAUGCACGAAAGCGUGGGGAGCAAACAGGAUUAGAAACCCUUGUAGUCCCAUG
rnacentral:rRNA from 1 species